rnacentral:rRNA from 1 species
UUGCAGCAAUGUAGUGUGGUUGGAGUGGCGCAAGGGUGCGUAACACGUGGGUAAUUUGCCGUGAAGACUGGGAUAACUUGCUGAAAGGCGAGCUAAUACCGGAUGUGGAAAUUGGGAGGCAUCUUCUGAUUUCUGAAGUUGGGGACCGUAAGGCCUGACGUUUCACGAUAAGCCCGCGGCCUAUCAGCUAGUUGGUGAGGUAACGGCUCACCAAGGCGAAGACGGGUAGCUGGUCUGAGAGGACGACCAGCCACACUGGAACUGAGAGACGGUCCAGACACCUACGGGUGGCAGCAGUCGAGAAUUUUUCUCAAUGGGGGAAACCCUGAAGGAGCGACGCCGCGUGGGGGAUGAAUGGCUUCGGCCCGUAAACCCCUGUCAUUUGCGAACAAUGUGUACUAUUUAAAAGAUGGUGCAUUGAUAGUAGCGAAAGAGGAAGGGACGGCUAACUCUGUGCCAGCAGCCGCGGUAAUACAGAGGUCCCGAGCGUUGUUCGGAUUCACUGGGCGUAAAGGGUGCGUAGGUGGUGGGGUAAGUCGGAUGUGAAAUCUCGGAGCUCAACUCCGAAAUGGCAUUGGAAACUACCCUGCUGGAGGUUUGGAGGGGGGACUGGAAUUCUCGGUGUAGCAGUGAAAUGCGUAGAUAUCGAGAGGAACACCAGUGGCGAAGGCGAGUCCCUGGACAAAACCUGACACUGAGGCACGAAAGCUAGGGGAGCAAACAGGAUUAGAUACCCUGGUAGUCCUAGCCGUAAACGGUGCUUGCUUGCUGUAAAAGGAAUCGACCCCUUUUGUGGCG